CUGCUGCCUUCCGUAGGAGUUUGGACCGUGUCUCAGUUCCAAUGUGGGGGACCUUCCUCUCAGAACCCCUAUCCAUCGUUGUCUUGGUGGGCCGUUACCCCGCCAACUGGCUAAUCAGACGCGGGCCCAUCCUGUACCACCGGAGUUUUCAAAGGAUUACCAUGCGGUAUUCCCUAUUAUGCGGUAUUAGCACCUAUUUCUAAGUGUUAUCCCCCGGUACAGGGCAGGUUGCCCACGCGUUACUCACCCGUCCGCCACUAAGACAGAUCUUUCCGUUA
rnacentral:rRNA from 1 species